rnacentral:rRNA from 1 species
AUUGCAGUAGGGAAUCUUCCGCAAUGGACGAAAGUCUGACGGAGCAACGCCGCGUGAGUGAUGAAGGUUUUCGGAUCGUAAAACUCUGUUGUUAGGGAAGAACAAGUACGGGAGUAACUGCUCGUACCUUGACGGUACCUAACCAGAAAGCCACGGCUAACUACGUGCCAGCAGCCGCGGUAAUACGUAGGGUGCAAGCGUUGUCCGGAAUUAUUGGGCGUAAAGAGCUCGUAGGCGGUUUGUCACGUCUGCUGUGAAAUUUCGAGGCUCAACCUCGAACUUGCAGUGGGUACGGGCAGGCUAGAGUGCGGUAGGGGAGAUGGGAAUUCCUGGUGUAGCGGUGGAAUGCGCAGAUAUCAGGAGGAACACCAAAGGCGAAGGCACAUCUCCGGGCCGUAACUGACGCUGAGGAGCGAAAGCGUGGGGAGCAAACAGGAUUAGAUACCCUGGUAGUCCACGCCGUAAACGGUGGGUGCUAGCUGUGGGCCACAUUCCACGUGGUCCGUGACGAAGUUAACACAUUAAGCACCCCGCCUGGGGAGUACGGCCGCAAGGCUAAAACUCAAAGGAAUUGACGGAAUC